rnacentral:rRNA from 1 species
CCCCGGGGUCUUGUACACACCGCCCCGUCACACCAUGGGAGUGGGUUUCACCAGAAGUAGGUAGCUUAACCUUCGGGGGGGCGCUUACCACGGUGAGAUUCAUGACUGGGGUG